GAACCGUACAAACGUUAUUCGGAAUCACUGGGCUUAAAGGGUGCGUAGGCGGCCAGGUAAGUUGGGUGUGAAAUCCCUCGGCUCAACCGAGGAACUGCGCCCAAAACUACUUGGCUUGAGGGAGAUAGAGGUGAGCGGAACUUAGGGUGGAGCGGUGAAAUGCGUUGAUAUCCUAAGGAACACCGGUGGCGAAAGCGGCUCACUGGAUCUCUUCUGACGCUGAGGCACGAAAGCUAGGGUAGCGAACGGGAUUAGAUACCCCGGGUAGUCCUAGCCGUAAACGAUGAGAACUGGGUUGGAGGCCCCCCCCAUAGGCUUCCCGGCCCGAAGCGAAAGUGUUAAGUUCUCCGCCUGGGGAGUAUGGUCGCAAGGCUG
rnacentral:rRNA from 1 species